CUAAUCGAUAAAGCCGCUGUCACACUGCGCCAUAAAUCACAAACUUUCAGCUUUAUUGUAAACAUCGGAACAAAAAUGAUAGCCAUAAGAAACCUAAAGAAAAGAAUAAACGAGCAUGGCGGAUAGAGCAGAAUUUCAAUUGCACUACGAGUUCAAUGCGGAAGGAAGCAGACAUCAUGCUAAAUAUUAUCUCUCACAUGCGAACUUUAGUCUUGUUCAGGCAGCCGAUGUACGACACAUCCAUUGCCCACGUUGUUACUGGCGAGAUCUACUCCGUAGCACCAAGUCGGAAAGUACUGAAGAGCUGAAGCGUGACGUGCUUCAUCAUAGGUGCCUUGGAGGAUUUGCCUAGGGAUGUCUUCUGCGAUGUUGUCACGGUCAAAAUAGGUGGUUGGCGAUUUCUGCUCCCAGGUGGUAGAGUUGAAAGUCACGCAAAUGAGUGACCAGUCGGAAACUAUGGAACGCGAAAGUAGAUGAUCGACUGUCGCUGCUGUUCCCCCCGGCAAGAGUUUUCAAAUUUUGGCAGUGACAGCCACAACCAACAAUGACGGCCAUUAUGGUCCCAAUGUGCGGCUUGAAGAGUCAGAGGAGAGUGACAAUAUAUACAGAUAUAUGUAUUCGGCGAGGCAAAGGACGAUUGUGUACCAGAUAGGAAUAUACAGACGAGCAUUGAUUAGGCGCGACACGCAGAGAAUUUGGCCAAUGAAGAGGCUGACAGCAAUGUCUACAAAUAUCCCCUGAACAUCGGCGCCUAUUGGCUGCAAAGUUGUCUGAGCAAGAUUUAAAAGAACAUCAUAGUGUCGCUGUCUGCCGAUGUACUCAAGAUCCACAAAAAUGAUUGCCAGCUCGCAGACAGCGACCCAGAACAAAAUCAAGGAUUCGUAUUAGCGACAUGUGUCGGAAUUUGGUGUGGUGUCAAGCGAUGCAGUGAGACGGUAAGAAAAUCGUAUCCGUUUUCGUGUUCAUAGAGCUGAAGGAUGAGGAUCGCACGCUUCUAUUGCCGCUUUCCUACACGCAGAUGGCCGAUGGGGCCCAUUGAACUCAGCUAUGUGGGGAUCCAGCUGAAGCGUGAAUGUCUCCAGUUAAUCCAACUUUUUGUACUGCGAAAGAUCAAGGAAGGCCGGCGUGUCGAUGUUCCCGGCAACCAAGACUAUACCUUGUCCAACAUAAGCGACUCCUACGUGGGCUGCGAUCAGGAGUAGAAGGACUACAAGGAUCAGGAGUCGAAGUGGCCGAUUUCCAAUCUGACAAUCAGACCGAGUCGGAUUAGGGCGUACGUUAAGAUUAGUAUACAUAACAAAUCCUACCCUAAUAAAACAUGUAGCAUACUCUUGGGGCUACCCGAUAAUACCAUCAA